rnacentral:rRNA from 1 species
GUCUCAGUUCGGAUUGAAGGCUGAAAUUACGCCUUCCAUGAAGCCGGAAUUGCUAGUAAUGGCAGGUCAGCAUACUGCCGUGAAUACGUUCCCGGGCCUUGUACACACCGCCCGUCACACCAUGAGAGUUGGAGAUACCCGAAGCCUGUGAGCUAACAAACGAGGCAGCAGUCGAAGGUAGAAUCAAUGAUUGGGGUGAAGUCGUAACAAGGUACC